UCCUAUAAAUUACAUCGACUAGAUGACAUUAAGGAGAUUAGUGUCACUUAGCAGGUACAAGUUUCAUUUUCUUUUAGUAACUAUAAAGACAAGAUAUUAUGUGAUGUUGUCCCUAUGCAAACAGGACACUUAUUAUUAGGGAGACUGUAGCAGUAUUAUGGGAAUGUUAAUCAUAAUAGUGGGAAGAAUCAUCAUUCCGUGACUAUGAGAGAUCUCACAUAUGUCCUAACUCUAUUAUCAAGGAGAGAAACAUACUCGGAUUAACUCAAAAUUAAGAAGUUUUAUGAUAAGUUCGCAGGGCGAACAACAGAUAC
rnacentral:lncRNA from 1 species